rnacentral:rRNA from 1 species
UACGGAGGGGGCUAGCGUUGUUCGGAAUUACUGGGCGUAAAGCGCACGUCGGCGGCUUGGUAAGUUAGAGGUGAAAGCCUGGAGCUCAACUCCAGAAUUGCCUUUAAGACUGCCGAGCUAGCAGGUGAGAGAGGUGAGUGGAAUUCCGAGUGUAGAGGUGAAAUUCGUAGAUAUUCGGAAGAACACCAGUGGCGAAGGCGGCUCACUGGCUCAUACUGGACGCUGAGGUGCGAAAGCGUGGAGAGCAAACAUG